rnacentral:rRNA from 1 species
ACUCAUCAACCCUGUGACAUACCUAAAACGUUGCUUCGGCGGGAACAGACGGCCCCGUAAAACGGGCCGCCCCCGCCAGAGGACCCCUAACUCUGUUGCUAUAUGUAUCUUCUGAGUAAACAAGCAAAUAAAUUAAAACUUUCAACAACGGAUCUCUUGGCUCUGGCAUCGAUGAAGAACGCAGCGAAAUGCGAUAAGUAAUGUGAAUUGCAGAAUUCAGUGAAUCAUCGAAUCUUUGAACGCACAUUGCGCCCGCCAGUAUUCUGGCGGGCAUGCCUGUUCGAGCGUCAUUACAACCCUCAGGCCCCCGGGCCUGGCGUUGGGGAUCGGCGAGGCGCCCCCUGUGGGCACGCGCCGUCCCCCAAAUACAGUGGCGGUCCCGCCGCAGCUUCCAUUGCGUAGUAGCUAACACCUCGCAACUGGAGAGCGGCGCGGCCAUGCCGUAAAACACCCAACUUCUGAAUGUUGACCUCGAAUCAGGUAGGAAUACCCGCUGAACUUAAGCAUAUCAAUAAGCGGAGGAA